rnacentral:rRNA from 1 species
UACGGAGGGUGCAAGCGUUGCUCGGAAUUAUUGGGCGUAAAGGGUAGGUAGGUGGUCUCAUUUGUCUGGGGUGAAAGCCUUGAGCUUAACUCAAGAAGUGCCCCAGAAACGGUGAGACUAGAGUCUUGGAGAGGGUCGUGGAAUUCCCGGUGUAGCGGUGAAGUGCGCAGAUAUCGGGAAGAACACCCGUGGCGAAGGCGGCUCUCUGGGACGGUACUGACGCUGAGACGCGAAAGCGUGGGGAGCGAACAGG